rnacentral:rRNA from 1 species
AGAACGAACGCUGGCGGCAGGCUUAACACAUGCAAGUCGAGCGGGUAGCAAUACCAGCGGCGAACGGGUGAGUAACACGUGGGCAACCUGCCCCUCACACUGGGAUAACCUCGGGAAACCGGGGCUAAUACCGGAUACGACCUCGAGCGGCAUCUCUUGAGGUGGAAAGCUCCGACGGUGAGGGAUGGGCCCGCGGCCUAUCAGCUUGUUGGUGGGGUAAUGGCCUACCAAGGCGACGACGGGUAG